GGCACCUAUUAUGCAAAAUUCACAUUUACAUGGUGUUUGACCAUACAUGUGUGUUGGCAGUGUGUGAGCAAAACCACCCUAGAAUGAUAAAAAUCCACCUAGUGGUUUUUUUACAAUCUCAAUAAUUCAUGAGCACUGUCUCAAAACGCCCUGUUCUAAGACUGCUCUCACUGUGACGUAGAAUUGAGCUAAGCCCCACCGACGUGGUUUGAUUGACAAUCUGGUUUUGGCAUAGAGCCCGCCCUCCGUGAUCUGUACACCAUCCUCCAUUGUUUCAAAGACAGCCGGUAAUGUCUCCUAAGAAACAUAAGUGUUCUGUUGUGGGAUGUAAUAAUGAACAUAGUAGUUUUCACUUACUUCCGACAUCAGAGCCACUGAAAACGCAGUGGAUGGAUUUUAUUUAUGAAGGAAAGGCGCCACUCAAAAUUCCAAAAUACGUUUAUGUUUGCGCGAAUCAUUUUUUGACUGACUGUUUUGAGAACGAGGGUCAAUUCAAAGCAGGUCUUGCUUCAAAGUUAAUCCUCAAGUCUGGAUCGUUGCCUACUGUUCGCGAUGCAACGUCACCUUCAGAAGAAGCCAGCACAUCGACACGAAGCUGUAGAACGAGGGAUAUUGGCGUGCAGACAGAAACAUCAAAGCUAUGCAGUGUUGGUACACAACUGUCAAUGAGGACGCUUCAAACACACCACAGGAGUGUCUGUGUCCAGACAGAGACAACAUUGUCAAGUUUUGAUGUUAGCACAAAAUUAGUUUCUCAUACAGCUGU